UUCCAAGGCAGCGUGAGCUGAGAGAAGGGUGGGCCCUAGCCGUGUGCCGCUCACCUGCGUGGGCACCAUCACAAUGGAGUGUUGUUUGCUCGGAGCACUUCAGCCAUGGUGAUUUUGCGAGCGGUACCAAAGGCCAGGGUCACUUGAUGGUGAAUGCAGUACCAUCGCUUGCGGGCCCCACUAAGACGCUUGCAAAGGUUGAUGCUACAGCAAUGAGACAACCUUCAAGUGAAGCAGCUUGAUCCACGGGAACAUCACAGAAUCAAGAUAAGCCACUAAGUCUCUCUGAAGCGACAAUAGACAUGGACAUCUCCGAGGGCUUGUCAGAUGUGCUAGCAGAGGGUGCUGCUACAACUGCCAGCUCGUCCUUCGCUGAUUCAGACAUUGGUGAUGAGCCUUCCGAAAUCCAACAUGUCCUGGUAUGUUUGAUUGUGGUAAUGAUCACAGGGUUUGCUUUUUUCAUGUGUGUGCCUUGGUUCAUUCAUGCUGUGCUCCGCUUUCAAUAAUCUGGUGUUUCCCUGUAAUGUAUAUUUUGGAUUUCACCUUUAAAGUAAUUAUUGCAGUUUCAAAAAUGCAUGAGACUUUGUCACACAGUUUUUUGUAAGAUGUUUUCGACCGAUUUUAAGAUAUCUAAUAGUAAUGCUCUGAAUGAAUAAAAAGAUAGAACUGAUCAACCUGUCAUUAGCUACAUUACAGCCCUUUUUUGACACAGGUGACAAGCAUACUGCAUGAGUUGUGUGUUC